rnacentral:rRNA from 1 species
AAUCAACGCUGGCGGCGUGCCUAACACAUGCAAGUCGCACGAGAAAGGGACUUCGGUCCUGAGUACAGUGGCGCACGGGUGAGUAACACGUGAAUAAUCUACCUUCGAGUGGGGAAUAACUGAGAGAAAUCUUAGCUAAUACCGCAUAAUACCCACGGGUCAAAGCAGCAAUGCGCUUGAAGAGGAGUUCGCGGCAGAUUAGUUAGUUGGCAGGUAAUGGCCACCAAGACGAUGAUCUGUAUCCGGCCGGAGAGGCGCACGGACACACUGGAACUGAAACACGGU